GACGAAGGAUGCAAGCGUUAUCCGGAUUCAUUGGGUUUAAAGGGAGCGUAGGUGGACUGAUAAGUCAGUGGUGAAAUCUUUGGGCUUAACCCAAAAAUUGCCAUUGAUACUGUUGGUCUUGAGUACAGUUGCUGUGGGCGGAAUAUGACAUUGUAGUGGUGAAAUACAUAGAGAUGUCAAUAGAACACCGAUUGCGAAGGCAGCUCACAAAGCUGUAACUGAACACUGAGGACUCGAAAGUGCGGGGAUCCAAACAGG
rnacentral:rRNA from 1 species